rnacentral:rRNA from 1 species
GACGAACGCUGGCGGCGUGCUUAACACAUGCAAGUCGAACGGAAAGGCCCUGCUUUUGUGGGGUGCUCGAGUGGCGAACGGGUGAGUAACACGUGAGUAACCUGCCCUUGACUUUGGGAUAACUUCAGGAAACUGGGGCUAAUACCGGAUAGGAGCUCCUGCUGCAUGGUGGGGGUUGGAAAGUUUCGGCGGUUGGGGAUGGACUCGCGGCUUAUCAGCUUGUUGGUGGGGUAGUGGCUUACCAAGGCUUUGACGGGUAGCCGGCCUGAGAGGGUGACCGGCCACAUUGGGACUGAGAUACGGCCCAGACUCCUCGGGAGGCAGCAGUGGGGAAUAUUGCACAAUGGGCGGAAGCCUGAUGCAGCAACGCCGCGUGCGGGAUGACGGCCUUCGGGUUGUAAACCGCUUUCGCCUGUGACGAAGCGUGAGUGACGGUAAUGGGUAAAGAAGCACCGGCUAACUAUGUG